rnacentral:rRNA from 1 species
AUGGACUCCUCCUCCGAUAACUUCGUGGCGCCGGUAGACGAGCGCCAGGACCCACCGCUCCCGAACCCUAGCGAGGAGGAAGCGGGCGGCGAGGAGAAAGAGCGGGGAGAGGAGAAAACCCUAGAGCGGGCGGAGGAGCUGUUUGACAAGGGGUCCAAGGCCAUCGAGGAGGGGGACUUCGUCGUCGCCGUCGACCGCCUCAGCCGCGCCCUCGAGAUCAGGGUUGAACGUUAUGGAGAACUUGCUUCAGAGUGUGCUAGCACGUAUUAUAAAUAUGGAUGUGCCUUGCUAUACAAAUCACAGGAGGAGACCGAUCCUCUGGGUAAUGUUCCAAAGAGUGCACCAGAUGAAGAACCAGCGAAGAGCACAACGAAUAAAGAUAGUGGAAACUCAAAGGCAUCCAGUAGCAACGUCAAAGAUGACGAUCCAUCUUCAGACAAAGGUGGUCUUGAAGGUCAAAACUCAAAUGAGAAAGAUCAGGAGGAUGUAGAUGGUGAGAGUGACAAGGAUGGCGAUGAGAUGGGGGGAGAAGAAGAUGAUUCUGAUUUGGAUCUAGCCUGGAAAAUGUUAGAUAUUGCAAGGGCAAUAGUGGAGAAGAACCCAGACAACACUAUGGAGAAAGUGAAAAUCUUUUCUGCUCUAGCUGAAGUCUCCAUGGAAAGAGAGGACAUAGACAACUCACUUGGUGACUACUUCAAAGCUUUGGCCAUCUUGGAGCAUUUGGUUGAGCCUGACCAUCGUCGAAUUGUUGAACUUGCUAGACACUUCCGCAUUUGUUUGGUCUAUGAGUUGGCAUCUAAGAUUGCAGAUGCGAUCCCAUAUUGUGCAAAGGCUGUUUCAUUGUGCAAGUCACGUUUAGAGAGCCUGAAAAAAGCGAAGGCAACCUUGUUGGCUGAUAAAGGUGACAGUGCAUCUACUGCUGAUGGAGACUCAAAGAAAUUGUCUAUUGAAGAUGAGCUGGAGGUUGUUACUGGUAUAUUGCCUGACCUUGAGAAGAAGCUUGAAGACCUGGAGCAAGCAAUGGCAACCCCAAGCUCUGAAAUAGAGGAGAUUAUGAAAAGCAUUGCCGCAAAGGCAGGGUUUAUGCAGAAGGCUGGCAAUGCCGUGGCACCAAGAGCUGCAUCUUUGACUUCUUCACAAAUGGGUGGAGUAAACAAUGGCUUUGACUCCCCAACUAUGUCUACAGCAGCAACAUCCGGAAGCACUGGAAGUACUGUUACCGACCUCGGUGUUGUAGGCAGAGGCAUCAAGCGAGCUAAUAUCAAGCCUAUUUCUGCUGAACCUUGUUCGAAGAGACUGGCAGCAGAUGAUUCACCAUCUGUGAAAUGCGACAGCAGCAACAACUCAGAUGUUCUCCCCACGGCGCAAGAUGGCGAGGGUUCCGUAUCAAAGUAG